rnacentral:lncRNA from 1 species
GCAUCGGGGCAAACCUUCUGAGUGGAACACGCCGUAAAACGUAUAAAGGCAGACUGGAUCAUAAUUUCUCCUAAAUCAGAAAUAAUGUGACGUUACUUGACCGACUGCGCGACUGGCAGUUUUUCAAGUAUCACCCGAGGUGGUUAGCGGUGGUCGUUGGAGGAGGUUGGCGGUGGUUGGCGGUGGUCGGAGGUGGCUAGGGGUGGUUGCGGGUGAUCGAGGUGGACGAGGAGGAGGACCAGGAAGCCGAGGAGAACGGGGAUUUCGGCAUGGCGAGCGAAACACAUUUAUAUAUUUGAUAGCAAUUGUAUAACCCGCGGUGGUCGGAGGUGGACGAGGAGGAAGACGAGGAUUUGUGCUCGUAUUCCAGGUAUAACCUCAGGUGGUAGGCCGUGAUUGAAAGUGUUUGGAUGAGGAAAACAGGGCAGAGGACGAAGAGGACGAGGAGGACAAAGGCGAGGAGGAGGACUGGGAUGAGAAGGAAGAGGAGAAGGACGAGGUCGACGAGGAGGACGGAGGUAGUGGAAGGUGGUAACGGGUAGUAGGCAGAAGUAGGAGUAGGAUUAGGUGUAGGUAUAGGAGUAGGAGUAGAAGUAGGAGUGUGAGUAGUAGGAGUUAGAGUAGGUGUAGGAGUUGGAGUAGGAGUAGGAAUAGGAGUGAAAGUAGUAGUGCGGGGCGGGUAAGGGGAGGGGAGGGUAGCCUCUACCCUACCCCUACCCGUACUCUACCCUACCCAACCCUACCCGCCUCUACCCUCCUCCUAUACUCCUACUUCUACUCCUACUCCUACUUCUACUUCAAUCUCACUACUACUUCUACUACGAUCUUACUCCAACUCCUGAUCCUACUCCUAUUCCUACUCCUAAUUCUGAAUAUUAAUGUUACGGAAUAUAUGGACUGCGUGUCAAAUUGAAUCCCAUAUCAAAACGAACAAUUAUUUUAUUGUCAUAUUAUAGCUGAUUAUAGUAGAUCAUCUAGUAUGUUUCUUAUAAAAUUAUAAAAUUUAUAGUAUGCAUUACGUAUUAAUCAUGAAUGAAUCAUAUAUAUCAAUGUUGUACAUGGACCGCAUAUACAUUUAUACAUUUUGGUCUCUGCAUCAUUAU